rnacentral:SRP_RNA from 1 species
GCCGAGCCAGGUAGCGUUGGCUUGUAACCCAAGCGGGGGCACGUGAGGUUUGGGAUGGUCAAAGGAACCACAGAUGGGUUGGUUGCGAUCGUGUAGAAGCCUGGCCUGCCCAUUCCAAGUCAGGUAGCUGAGCCAUGCGGCCUGGGCGAAGGCCCAAGCCCCAUGAUUCUUAGAGCAGAGGGCACCGCGUCAGGCUGGCUUCACAGAGCAGCGAUGACCACUCGCUCUUGACGGUGGGAGGAUAACAAGUCGGCGCACAUCGCAUAAUAUAAAUUAUUGUUAAACUUUUAAUAUAAGAAUUUUA